rnacentral:misc_RNA from 1 species
GAUGAAGAACGUAGCGAAAUGCGAUAAGUAGUGUGAAUUGCAGAAUUCAGUGAAUCAUCGAAUCUUUGAACGCACAUUGCGCCUUCUAGUAUUCUGGGAGGCAUGCCUGUUUGAGCGUCAUUAAACCUCUCUCAAGUAUGAUUACUUGGAUGUGAAGGAAGAGUACCUUAAACUUAAGGAGUGUUCUCCUUUGAAAUUGAUUAGCAGAUGGUAAUGUUAUUUAAUCCCUGAUGUUGUAAGAAAUAACAGUGGUUUUGUAGACUAUUAUCUAGCUUUAAAUUAUAAUUUUUAUUAUGGUUGACCUCAAAUCAGGUAAGGAUACCCGCUGAACUUAAGCAUAUCAAUAAGCGGAGGA